UAAUGAUAGCACUGUAUUUCUUUAUUUUAUUGUGGCAUGGUUUCGAUUUUUGUGUUUUCGAAGCUAGGAAAAACAUAUUUCCAGAAGUCUUUCUGGUUUUCUACGAUAAACGAUUAUCGAUCGAGUCCACUGGAACAAUCGCAUAUCGCUGAUGAAUAGAAUUUUUUACGUGGAAUAAUAAUCUUGACUACGUUAUUAUUCGAGAGACGAACCGUGACAGCUCCAAUUAUCCCGCUAAUGUAAUAGUCGUUGGUGAAGUGUCCCCGAAAUUUUCGUAGAACUGAAUUCGUAUUCAAAAUCCUUCUCUACACACAACCAAGCAAGAGCAUAACAACAACUACCAACAGAUGCAUUUGGUGUAUACAGUCAACUAACGAUGUGCUACUGCGAACACAAUAUGUUUCCACGAUAAAACCGAAACGAUGAAACAGAAGAGAACUUUCCCGCGGAGAUAAACGAGACACAUACCUAGAGAACGUUCAGAAACUGGGUCAAUCCGAAAGCAUUUGGGUCAACCAGACGGAAGUCCCUAAGGGAAACACGAUAAGGCAUGUUUGGUGGAAUUUAUGUCUCGUAAUUCGAAAACGCAAGAUGGAAUCAUAGAUUUCACCAUGGAUUACAGGUGGUUAAUAUUUGUUAUUAAUGGAAUUUGAUUUGACUUAUUUUCAAUAGUAAUUUUCUAAUUGUUUUACGCCUGACGGAAUUCAAUUUUUACAAUAUGAAUCACGUAGCGUUUCCAGAGAAUUGCGAUGAUUUUCGAUUACCAUAUCAUAUUUAUUCGUAUUAAUCAAAUCGUUCAUAAAAAAACGAGAUAUUACCUUUUUCGA
rnacentral:lncRNA from 1 species